rnacentral:rRNA from 1 species
AUACGAAGGGGGCUAGCGUUGUUCGGAAUUACUGGGCGUAAAGGGCGCGUAGGCGGUCCCUGUCAGUCAAGCGUGAAAGCCCCGGGCUCAACCUGGGAAUUGUGCCUGAUACUGCAGGGCUUGAGGGUCGGAGAGGAUGGUGGAAUUCCCAGUGUAGAGGUGAAAUUCGUAGAUAUUGGGAAGAACACCGGUGGCGAAGGCGGCCAUCUGGACGACAUCUGACGCUGAGGCGCGAAAGCGUGGGGAGC